UACGUAGGGGGCGAGCGUUGUCCGGAGUUACUGGGCGUAAAGGGCACGCAGGCGGUGCGGCGCGUUUCGCGUGACAGCGGAGGGCUUAACUCUCCGAGGAUGCGAAAGACGGCGGCACUUGAGGGCCAGAGAGGGACACGGAAUUCCGGGUGGAGUGGUGAAAUGCGUAGAGAUCCGGAGGAACACCGAAGGCGGAGGCAGUGUCCUGGCUGGUGACUGACGCUGAGGUGCGAAAGCUAGGGGAGCGAACGGG
rnacentral:rRNA from 1 species